rnacentral:rRNA from 1 species
UACGAAGGGGGCUAGCGUUGUUCGGAAUCACUGGGCGUAAAGGGCGCGUAGGCGGCCCGCACAAGUCUGCGGUGAAAACCCCCGGCUUAACCGGGGGCCGGCCGUGGAAACUGUCGGGCUAGAGGCCGGGAGAGGGCAGCGGAAUUCCCGGUGUAGCGGUGAAAUGCGUAGAGAUCGGGAGGAACACCGGCGGCGAAGGCGGCUGCCUGGACCGGCCCUGACGCUGAGGCGCGGAAAGCUAGGGGAGCAAACAGG